GGAUAUAGCUCAGUUGGUAGAGUGUUUGUCUCACAUGCACAAGGAACUGGGUUUGAUCCCCAGGGAUAUGUA
rnacentral:tRNA from 1 species